CAGUCGCCGCGGUAAUACAGAGGGUGCAAGCGUUAAUCGGAUUUACUGGGCGUAAAGGGCGCGUAGGUGGUUAUGUAAGUGAGAUGUGAAAUCCCCGGGCUCAACCUGGGAACUGCAUCUUAUACUGCGUAGCUGGAGUGCAGUAGAGGGUAGUGGAAUUUCCGGUGUAGCGGUGAAAUGCGUAGAUAUCGGAAGGAACACCAGUGGCGAAGGCGGCUACCUGGACUGACACUGACACUGAGGCGCGAAAGCGUGGGGAGCAAAUGGGAUUAGAUACCCCCGUAGUCCCUGUCUCUUAUAC
rnacentral:rRNA from 1 species